AAAAACAUCGUACAGCAUUGUCCCAAACAAGAAGUGCCAAAUUUUGAGUCCACAGUGAAACAGGAACUGUCAAAUGUUGAACACUUCCUGGCAUGAGUGGAGCUGGGUGUCACUGGACCACCUUGAAAUCUGACUGGACACCCCAGGUACCACCCCAGAUGAUUGACAUGUCACGGCACCUCA